UACAUAUUUGAUGCAUUUAGAUCCCACAC
rnacentral:piRNA from 1 species